AUUGAACGCUGGCGGCAGGCCUAACACAUGCCAGUCGAGCGGAUGAAGGGAGCUUGCUCCUGGAUUCAGCGGCGGACGGGUGAGUAAUGCCUAGGAAUCUGCCUGGUAGUGGGGGAUAACGUCCGGAAACGGGCGCUAAUACCGCAUACGUCCUGAGGGAGAAAGUGGGGGAUCUUCGGACCUCACGCUAUCAGAUGAGCCUAGGUCGGAUUAGCUAGUUGGUGGGGUAAAGGCCUACCAAGGCGCCGAUCCGUAACUGGUCUGAGAGGAUGAUCAGUCACACUGGAACUGAGACACGGUCCAGACUCCUACGGGAGGCAGCAGUGGGGAAUAUUGGACAAUGGGCGAAAGCCUGAUCCAGCCAUGCCGCGUGUGUGAAGAAGGUCUUCGGAUUGUAAAGCACUUUAAGUUGGGAGGAAGGGCAGUAAGUUAAUACCUUGCUGUUUUGACGGUACCAACAGAAUAAGCACCGGCUAACUUCGUG
rnacentral:rRNA from 1 species